UUGUUAUUAAACUUUCUCAGUAUUCCAUUAAAACAGUCAACACUUUUAUCCAAAGCGACUUACGAUAAGUGCAUUCAACUAUAAGGUUACGAACACAGAACAGCGUGAAUCAUGUGUGUAAAUGUACUAAACACCACAAAAAAUAAACCUGGCCUCAGUCAAAUACUUAUCCCAUAUGAAUUAACCGCUGCUCACGUCACCCGCUCGCGUCAUCAGCUGAUGGACUCGUCCAAUCAGAGCCUCGUAAACGCCGUGCAGCAGCGUCGAGUGUCCCGCAGACAGGAAGCGGGUCGUGUUUAGCUUGUCCCGUACGAGUGACUCUGUCUUCGGGGUAAAUAACUUGCUGAAGUCGACACGACGCUGUUCCCUGGAGGAGAAGAUGAGUGCGUGUGGACGAGUCGAGGCGGAGAAGACGGGCGCACAGUCCCUGAGUUACGCCUCAGCCCCCCCCCCACACACACACGCACACACACACACAAACAAAGAGGCGUUAGGCUGAGACGCUGAAAGUCCGGAUUUAAAGUGCAGAAAAGGAAGCCAUUGAAUCUGCCUGUCCAUGACGUACAAAGACACACUAUGAGCCAGUAUGAUCCGACCAGACCUUACAUCAGCAUUGAGGAGUUGUCGGAGAAGAAAGAGGCUGAUUGAAGCGGGACAGAUGACAUGGAUCCAUCCUUCCACAGCCAGGAGUGCACCGACCUGUGUCCCACACUUCAUAUAAGACUGGAAGCUACACUGAUCUCACAGCUACACACCACAGACGUCUACACACUGGAGAAGAGUCCCACAAAGAAGUCAUGACCCAGAGGCUGCAGAGAAACAUUUCAAGCCUCAUCUGAGUUUUUGUACAAUAUUUUUGCUGUAUGUAAAUAAAGCUUUCACUCCACA